GAUUAAGUGGCUGAAAAUAGGCGAUAGAUUGUAAAUCUAUAUAUAAGAAAAAAUCUUCUUAAUCAAU
rnacentral:tRNA from 1 species